rnacentral:misc_RNA from 1 species
GAUGAAGAACGUAGCGAAAUGCGAUAAGUAAUGUGAAUUGCAGAAUUCAGUGAAUCAUCGAAUCUUUGAACGCACAUUGCGCCCGCCAGUAUUCUGGCGGGCAUGCCUGUUCGAGCGUCAUUUCAACCAUCAAGCCCUGCUUGCGUUGGGGUCCUGCGGCUGCCCGCAGGCCCUGAAAACCAGUGGCGGGCUCGCUAGUCACACCGAGCGCAGUAAUACAUCUCGCUUUGGGCGUGCGGCGGGUUCUUGCCGUUAAACACCCCCUUUUUACCAAGGUUGACCUCGGAUCAGGUAGGAAUACCCGCCGAACUUAAGCAUAUCAAUAAGCGGAGGA